rnacentral:rRNA from 1 species
GUAGGGAAUAUUGGGCAAUGGAGGCAACUCUGACCCAGCCAUGCCGCGUGCAGGAUGACGGCCCUCUGGGUUGUAAACUGCUUUUAUACGGGAAGAAAAAUACUACGUGUAGUAUACUGACGGUACCGUAAGAAUAAGGAUCGGCUAACUCCGUGCCAGCAGCCGCGGUAAUACGGAGGAUCCAAGCGUUGUCCGGAUUUAUUGGGUUUAAAGGGUGCGUAGGCGGAUCUUUAAGUCAGUGGUGAAAGCCUGCAGCUUAACUGUAGAAUUGCCAUUGAAACUGAAGAUCUUGAAUGUGGUUAAAGUAGGCGGAAUGUAUCAUGUAGCGGUGAAAUGCUUAGAUAUGAUACAGAACACCGAUAGCGAAGGCAGCUUGCUGAACCAUUAUUGACGCUGAGGCACGAAAGCGUGGGGAGCGAACAGGAUUAGAUACCCCGGUAGUCC